AUUGAACGCUGGCGGCAUGCUUUACACAUGCAAGUCGAACGGUAACAGGCCUUCGGGCGCUGACGAGUGGCGAACGGGUGAGUAAUGCAUCGGAACGUGCCCAGUCGUGGGGGAUAACGCAGCGAAAGCUGUGCUAAUACCGCAUACGAUCUGCGGAUGAAAGCGGGGGACCUUCGGGCCUCGCGCGAUUGGAGCGGCCGAUGUCAGAUUAGGUAGUUGGUGGGGUAAAGGCUCACCAAGCUAACGAUCUGUAGCUGGUCUGAGAGGACGACCAGCCACACGGGGACUGAGAAACGGCCCAGACUCCUACGGGAGGCAGCAGUGGGGAAUUUUGGACAAUGGGCGCAAGCCUGAUCCAGCAAUGCCGCGUGCAGGAAGAAGGCCUUCGGGUUGUAAACUGCUUUUGUACGGAGCGAAAAGGCUCCCUCUAAUACAGGGGGCUCAUGACGGUACCGUAAGAAUAAGCACCGGCUAACUACGUGCCAGCCGCCGCCGUAAAAC
rnacentral:rRNA from 1 species